CACGUAGGGUGCGAGCGUUGUCCGGAAUUAUUGGGCGUAAAGAGCUCGUAGGCGGUGUGUCGCGUCGGCCGUGAAAACCUGCAGCUUAACUGUGGGCGUGCGGUCGAUACGGGCAUCACUGGAGUUCGGCAGGGGAGACUGGAAUUCCUGGUGUAGCGGUGAAAUGCGCAGAUAUCAGGAGGAACACCGGUGGCGAAGGCGGUUCUCUGGGCCUUACCUGACGCUGAGGAGCGAAAGCGUGGGGAGCGAACAGG
rnacentral:rRNA from 1 species